GACGAACGCUGGCGGCGUGCCUAAUACAUGCAAGUUGAGCGCUGAAGGUUGGUACUUGUACCAACUGGAUGAGCAGCGAACGGGUGAGUAACGCGUGGGGAAUCUGCCUUUGAGCGGGGGACAACAUUUGGAAACGAAUGCUAAUACCGCAUAAAAACUUUAAACACAAGUUUUAAGUUUGAAAGAUGCAAUUGCAUCACUCAAAGAUGAUCCCGCGUUGUAUUAGCUAGUUGGUGAGGUAAAGGCUCACCAAGGCGAUGAUACAUAGCCGACCUGAGAGGGCGAUCGGCCACAUUGGGACUGAGACACGGCCCAAACUCCUACGGGAGGCAGCAGUAGGGAAUCUUCGGCAAUGGACGAAAGUCUGACCGAGCAACGCCGCGUGAGUGAAGAAGGUUGUCGGAUCGUAAAACUCUGUUGGUAGAGAAGAACGUUGGUGAGAGUGGAAAGCUCAUCAAGUGACGGUAACUACCCAGAAAGGGACGGCUAACUACGUG
rnacentral:rRNA from 1 species